GACAGAGGUGCCAAGCGUUAGGCGGAAUCACUGGGCUUAAAGCGUGUGUAGGCGGAUUGGUAAGUACCUUGUGAAAUCCCACGGCUCAACCGUGGAACUGCUCGGUAUACUGCCUAUCUUGAGCCACUUAGGGGCUGUCGGAACAAACGGUGGAGCGGUGAAAUGCGUAGAUAUCGGGAGGAACACCAGUGGCGAAGGCGGUUGCCUGGAGCUUUGCUGACGCUGAUGCGCGAAAGCGUGGGGAGCGAACAGG
rnacentral:rRNA from 1 species